UACAGAGGUCUCAAGCGUUGUUCGGAUUCAUUGGGCGUAAAGGGUGCGUAGGCGGGUCUUUAAGUCAGGGGUGAAAUCCUGGAGCUCAACUCCAGAACUGCCUUUGAUACUGAAGAUCUUGAGUUCGGGAGAGGUGAGUGGAACUGCGAGUGUAGAGGUGAAAUUCGUAGAUAUUCGCAAGAACACCAGUGGCGAAGGCGGCUCACUGGCCCGGUACUGACGCUGAGACACGAAAGCGUGGGUAGCAAACAGG
rnacentral:rRNA from 1 species